GCGCCUGUAGCUUAAUGGAUAGAGCAUUGGAUUCCGGAUCCAAAGGUUGGAGGUUCGAAUCCUCUCAGGCGCG
rnacentral:tRNA from 1 species